rnacentral:rRNA from 1 species
GAUGAACGCUAGCUACAGGCUUAACACAUGCAAGUCGAGGGGCAGCGCAGUGUAGCAAUACAUGGGCGGCGACCGGCGCACGGGUGCGUAACGCGUAUCCAACCUUCCCGUUACUCUUGGAUAGCCUUCCGAAAGGGAGAUUAAUACAAGAUGGUAUUCAAAUUCCGCAUGUUAUUUGAAUUAAAGAUUUAUCGGUAACGGAUGGGGAUGCGUGACAUUAGAUAGUAGGCGGGGUAACGGCCCACCUAGUCUACGAUGUCUAGGAGUUCUGAGAGGAAGGUCCCCCACACUGGAACUGAGACACGGUCCAGACUCCUACGGGAGGCAGCAGUGAGGAAUAUUGGUCAAUGGUCGAGAGACUGAACCAGCCAAGUAGCGUGAAGGAUGACUGCCCUACGGGUUGUAAACUUCUUUUAUACGGGAAUAAAACCUCCCACGUGUGGGAGCUUGUAUGUACCGUAUGAAUAAGCAUCGGCUAACUCCGUG